CUGUUCCCAAAGCUAUUUAAAUUGUACUUUAAAUAUGACUAACACAGCUUUAAGGACAAAAAAUAUAGAUUUAAAAAGUUGUUCCCAAAGCUACUCAAAUUAUACUUUAAAUAUAUAAUAUAUAUUUUAUUUUAUUUAACAGGGAUAAUUAUGUAAUUUUACCAUUAAAUUUGGAGAUUUGUAGAGGAUGAACAAGGGCAGAUGGGUAAUUUGGCUGUACUUUUUAGAUCUGUACAUUUAAUGUCUAUCUACUAUACUUCUUUCCUUGUUUACUUCUCCUCCACAUUUGCUUCUACAUUGAUUUCUCCUCCACAAUUCCUCUCCAUUAAUCUCCAUUUUUGCUCAAAUUUCGCUUCAAUGUUGCUGUCCAGAUAAUACAAAUUAGAGGUUUUAUCGCAUAGUGGUCAGAAAUUACAGAGAAGAAGAGUUGUAGAAUACAACUGAGGAAUGGAAGAAAAUAGAGAUAAUGUGUCUGCCCAAGAAAGAACUUCUGAAAGAAAUAUGCGUCAUCGUACCAAAUAUGCACAGAUGUCACUGGAGAGAAAGCAAUUAUUUUUAUCCGAGCUAAGAGAAAAAAGGGCCGAGUCAAAAAGACAAAAACACCUUCAUCAAUCAAAUACUACUGCCGCUCUUACAAUCAGUAGUUCUUCACUAUCGCCUCAGGAAGGUUAGCUGAGCAUAUUCUUAUCUUCCUUCUAUCUUCUCAAUAUCUACAACUAUAGUUAGACGCUACUACUCCUACUAUAGCUAUUUUCCUCAUUUUGUAGUUGCAGCUUCUAAAGCCACAAACCUACUAGUUACGUUAACUACAGGACAUCAUCAAUCAAAUAGUACUGGCGCCCUUACAAUCAACACUUCUUCGUUAUCUCCUCAACAAUGUUAGCUUACCAUAUUUUAGUUGAAGCUUUCGAAGUUAUAAACCUACCAGUUAAUUUAACUACAGGAGAACAUCAAUUAAAUAGUACUGGCUCCCUUACAAUCAGCACUUCUUUGUUAUUUCCUCAAGAAGGUUAGCUAAUCAUAUUGUUACCUUCCUUUCCUUCAAUCUGUCUUCUCAAUAUCUACAACUAUAGUUAGCUGCUUCAUCCAAAAUUGAAAUGCAACAUAGUUAUAUUCUUCAUUAUCUUGAAUAACACACAAAAUGAUUUCUCGGGGAAAAACAGAUUAUGAAGUCUUAUUUAGCCUUUUCUUAAAACACAACACAAGUUAAAAUUUUAGGUCAGAGAAAAGGUAGAUAUAAAGACACUGAUAACCAUAAUCUGGUGUAGAAAUCAAAAGGCUAAUACAUGACAGAAUAUUCAUGCCAUAUACCAUAUAUGUGAUAGCAUUUAGCAAUGGAAUAAAAAGAUUCACUUAAAAAGAAUUGAUCUUGCGUGUGAUGGGAGUUAAUGAGAAGGAAAGACUUAGUAGAGGGCUAAAUGACAAAUUCUGAACUUCAUAUCUAACAUCUCGUCAAACUGAACAAAUAAACCUCAUGUAUCAUUGACAACAAAUUAUCAUGUGAUGCAUCACGCAAUUCGAUUUCAAGUACUGAGGUCAUUAGGGAAAAAGUUUGGUUAUCAAUAGUAUUAUAGAGAAUAUUCAAUAAUCUAAUAUAGGCUCUACAGAGAUGAACCAAUGUAUAGUGUUAUAGAGAUUAUUUAAUUCAUUCAAUAAUAUAAUCAUAGUGUCUAAAUUUCUAUAGAGAAGAACUAAGUUGAAUGAUGAUAUUAUUGGAUAUCAUUUGAAGAACUAACUAAUUAAUCUAUAAUUCAUGUAUUGUAUAAUACAAAUACAUUUAUGCUCAAAACGCUCAUUUGAAACAUGAAUUUUCAUCUUCAACUCAGAAGCUUUUAAGAUUGAAUUCUGUGAGUUUUUUCACCUUCUUUUCUGCGUCUCUGUUUUUUUUUCCAUUGUAUUUUUAUUGAUAAUGAAGAUACUCAGUUUUGGAAAUGGAAAUAGGGUGAAUCGGUAAUGAAAUUUGUGUAACAAAAUAUUUAAAUACUUUUUUAGGAUGGAUGGAUUCUUUGAUGAUGAAUUUAGUGUUAAGUUUUUUACAUGCAUGCCAAUAUUAUGUGAGGUUUUCCUUUAAUGUACCGAGAGUGUUUGAUCAAAGUUGUAAGUUGUGAAAAGGAAUAAGAAAAUUUUGCAACUGCAAGUCUUAUUUUUGCCCUUCUUUUUUCUAACUUCAAUAGCUACAUGUUACUGGCCUCACUAACAAUCAUUGUUGUUUAAUUACUCUGUAUACUAAAUUGGAUGGUUUCCUACAUGAUGAACAAGUUCUACAGGGUCCAAAUAUUGUAGCGAUCAUACUCAGAUUGUAUUGUUAAGGUGUUCAAAAGUUGUCGUGUCAAAUCAUAUGAAUGGAUGAAGCUGAGAUAAAAGGGGUUCUUUUGGGUCUCAAUGGCUUUACAUUGGUGAAUUGAUGUAUGGUUCUGAGAAAUGGGUCGACCGGAGAGAUGAAGAUUGGAUAGCUUGCAUGGUUACCGGCGGAGAAGGAAAGAUGUAGUUGGUGGAGUUUCGAUGACAACAAUGUGGAUGCAUGGGAAAGGCUUAAAACUACUGACAAAUGUUCUAUGAAAUCACAAUAUAUAUAUAUAUAUCUCCCUUAUUUAGAAGAGGGAGUAUAAAAUUGUCUGAUUUUCAUCACAUUAACACUUUUAAGUGUAAAAAUUGAAACUUUUGGAACUCAAACAAAGAAAUAGCAAAUCCAGAUGUUAAAAUUCUCUGA